rnacentral:rRNA from 1 species
AUAACAGCGUUAUUUUUUUUUAGAGUUCAAAUCGAAAAAAGAGAUUGCGACCUCGAUGUUGGAUUAAAGUAAAUUUUAGGUGUAGGAGCUUAAAAAUUUGGUCUGUUCGACCAUUAAAACUUUACAUGAUCUGAGUUUAAACCGGUGUGAGCCAGGUUGGUUUCUAUCUUUAUAUAGUUAAUAAAUUUUAGUACGAAAGGACCAAAUUUAUAAUUAAAAAUUUAUGUUUUGAAUAAAAAU